UACAGAGGGGGCAAGCGUUUAUUCGGAAUUAUUGGGCGUAAAGGGCGCGUAGGCGGCCUGGCAAGUGGAAGGUGAAAUCCCUCGGCUUAACCGAGGAACUGCCUUCCAAACUGCUUGGCUUGAGUCCGGGAGAGGUGAGUGGAAUUCCCAGUGUAGCGGUGAAAUGCGUAGAUAUUGGGAGGAACACCAGUGGCGAAGGCGGCUCACUGGACCGGUACUGACGCUGAUGCGCGAAAGCGUGGGGAGCAAACGGG
rnacentral:rRNA from 1 species